GGUUAAGUGAAUAAGGGCGCACGGUGGAUGCCUUGGCACUAGGAGCCGAUGAAGGACGGGACUAACACCGAUAUGCUUUGGGGAGCUGUAAGUAAGCUAUGAUCCAGAGAUUUCCGAAUGGGGGAACCCAAUAUCUUUUAUAGGAUAUUACUUUUCAGUGAAUACAUAGCUGAUUAGAGGUAGACGCAGAGAACUGAAACAUCUUAGUACCUGCAGGAAGAGAAAGA
rnacentral:rRNA from 1 species